rnacentral:lncRNA from 1 species
AAUAGGCCUUGUCUUCUGGGGAAAGCAUUGUCUGCCCAUUCAAGUGUGAGCAAGAGUUGUUCAACAUCCUUAAUCAUCAGAGAAAUGCAAAUCAAAACAACCCUGAGAUUCCAUUUCACACCAGUCAGAAUGGCUAAGAUCAAAAAUUCAGGUGACAGCAGAUGGAGCUUAGAGCAAAAGCUUCUAAAAUCAAGAAGAAGAAAAGGCUUUUUUCAGAGUCAUCCCAGGAUCCCAUGGAGUUGUGACUAGAUAAGACACUUGGCUGCUCUGAGACGAAAAUGUCUUACGUAUUGGCAGAUAAGGAAGAGCUCUGACUGCCUGUCCCUAGUCAUGGAAGGGAGUGAUAAGCAGACAUAGAAGUAAGGACCUGCAAGAGGAACACACCUUCACACUCCUAUAAGUGAAUUUAUCGAAUGAAAGCAAGAGAUUCAGCACCACUAAGAGCAAAAAUGUGUGAAAGACUAUGAAAAGGAAUAAAGUGGGAGCUUGCAUCUUUAGUGUCCAAAGUACAAGCCCUAUUGCCUGAAAUUCCUCGUUAUACAAACCUUUAUUCAAUGAGCGUCUGCUGACAGGGUUGGACAACACAAAGUCAAUCCCCAGGAGUCAUGUGACAGAAAGAGCCAACACUUGCAAGUUGACCUCUGACUUCCAUAUAGUGGCCGUGCCAUGUACAUCCCUACCAGAGCCACAGUGUCCACUUCUUUGCAUGUGAGCCAGCAACCCACGUGACUUACAUCUCUACAGAGAAAAACGCCAAUACCACUUAAUUCUCAAGGUUGUUGAGAAGUACCUCCCCUAUAUUCGUCAAUAUGGGAGACUAUAAGAAGAAUGGCUGUUUUAUUAUAUAUUUGAAUAUUUCCAUAUGAAAUUGUGAAUACUAGUUAAUGACAGGUUGUCUCUUCACUGGAAUGAUGAUGCUCUUUGUUACACAGAGCUUUUUAGUUUCAUGAGGUCCCAUUUAUUUUUGUGCGAGGGUACAGUAUUUCAAUGAAGGUGAUAUGAUCACUCCUGUUUGGAAGCUGAAUCAAUGAAAACACAAGUGCCUGUAAUAGAAUAUCAUUGCCUUCAACUACUGACUAAAACCUUUGGGGGGUUUUGAUUUGAGCUCAGACCUUACAGCAUUCUAUUAUUUAUGUGAAAGAAAUUUACAAUCCUUGUUCUGACAAACUAGUCCACCCAGAGAACAAGACAGGAUCUGUCAUGUUUGCCAAUCAAUGCUGGUGGUGUAAAUCACACCUGCUGAUGUCAAGCAUAAACAUCUGCUUCUAGAACUUUCCCCCACUUUCCAUCAGCUCUCACUGGCCUUAUUUUUUAAAUAAAUCUACAUGUCUUUC